rnacentral:rRNA from 1 species
ACGGCUCAGUAACACGUAGUCAACAUGCCCAGGGGACGUGGAUAACCUCGGGAAACUGAGGAUAAACCACGAUAAGUCACUACUUCUGGAAUGGGUAAUGACUCAAAUCUACAUGGCCCCUGGAUUGGACUGCGGCCGAUCAGGCUGUUGGUGAGGUAAUGGCCCACCAAACCUGUAACCGGUACGGGCUCUGAGAGGAGGAGCCCGGAGAUGGGCACUGAGACAAGGGCCCAGGCCCUAUGGGGCGCAGCAGGCGCGAAACCUCUGCAAUAGGCGAAAGCCUGACAGGGUUACUCUGAGUGAUUUCCGUUAAGGAGAUCUUUUGGCACCUCUAAAAAUGGUGCAGAAUAAGGGGUGGGCAAGUCUGGUGUCAGCCGCCGCGGUAAUACCAGCACCCCGAGUGGUCGGGACGUUUAUUGGGCCUAAAGCAUCCGUAGCCGGUUCUACAAGUCUUCCGUUAAAUCCACCUGCUUAACAGAUGGGCUGCGGAAGAUACUAUAGAGCUAGGAGGCGGGAGAGGCAAGCGGUACUCGAUGGGUAGGGGUAAAAUCCGUUGAUCCAUUGAAGACCACCAGUGGCGAAGGCGGCUUGCCAGAACGCGCUCGACGGUGAGGGAUGAAAGCUGGGGGAGCAAACCGGAUUAGAUACCCGGGUAGUCCCAGCUGUAAACGAUGCAGACUCGGUGAUGAGUUGGCUUUAUGCCAACUCAGUGCCGCAGGGAAGCCGUUAAGUCUGCCGCCUGGGGAGUACGGUCGCAAGACUGAAACUUAAAGGAAUUGGCGGGGGAGCAC